UACGUAGGGUGCAAGCGUUAAUCGGAAUUACUGGGCGUAAAGCGUGCGCAGGCGGUUCGGAAAGAAGGAUGUGAAAUCCCAGGGCUCAACCUUGGAACUGCAUUCUUAACUACCGAACUAGAGUAUGUCAGAGGGGGGUAGAAUUCCGCGUGUAGCAGUGAAAUGCGUAGAUAUGCGGAGGAAUACCGAUGGCGAAGGCAGCCCCCUGGGAUAAUACUGACGCUCAUGCACGAAAGCGUGGGUAGCAAACAGG
rnacentral:rRNA from 2 species